UUUUUAUGUAUUUUUACUCGCUGAAUCGAAAUUCAAGGUCAGAUUUGCUGAAUUGGCUUAUUUUUUCUUAACCUCAAAAAAACACCUUGUAAAAGCAGUUUAGGUCACAAAUAUAUAAUCCAGAGGUAUGGGACGAGGGGGGUAUUGAAUGGUUCAGGGAGAAGAUAGAAAAAAAGCUGAGAGGAGUGAGAGAACGGGUGCUAAAUGAGGAGUGGGAUAGGAUGGUGAGUGGAAUAGUAGGGACGAUGAGUAAGAUAGAGUAAAAGGAAAGAAGAUUAGUAAAAGCUGGUGGGAUGAGGAAUGUAGGAUAAUGAAGAAACAGGUGACUUAAGGGGAUGGAGAGGGGGAAAAGGAGAGAAGAGGAACUUUAGUGAGAAGACAAGGGAGUAUAAAGAGUUGUGUGAAAAAAAGGGUGAGGAGAAUAAGAAGUGGGCCAAAAUAUGCUGAAGAGGCUAGGACAGAGAGUGAAGUUUGGGAGAUAGUAAAUAGAGAUAGGAAGAGAAAAAGCAAGGUGGAGGAGGGGAUAGAGAUGGAAAAAUGGAAAGAGUAUUUUAUGUGUUUACUAGAGGGGGGGGGGGUAGGGAAAAGAAUGAUAAGAGGGGAAGGGUAGGGUAAGCGUGAAAGGAGGUAAAAAUUGUUUUGUUUUUAAGGUGUGUUUUUACCCUUUAAACAUGAAAUUCCGCACGUAAAAAAAAUACGUGUCUUUUAGAUUUUUAUGUUUAAUAACAUUUUAUGGAAAUCAAAUCGGCGUUGGACGCUCGUGAUACUUUCCAUGUAAGAUUCAACUAAGACCGUAAGUCCAUUUAAUAAAAAACACUUUCUAGUUUAGAAAUUCUAUGAUUAUAUUUGGUCAUAAAAUGCGAUCAAUUUUUACUUCACAUAGAAUGCGAUUAUUUUUUUGCUCCGAAACAUCUUUAUUCUGCAAAUGAAGCAAAAAUUGUUGAAAUAGUAACAUUUCUAGCAGUAAUUUUUAAUAAAGGAUUUAUACCAAGUCUGAAAGUUAUGAACGUGAUGAGCGUGACUAUUAGUCAGAAGCGGAGAUGUACGCGAACCUGCGAAACGCAACUCGUAUUAUUCGUUUAGAGCGGCUUUGCUAAGAAUGAAAGAAUACAUUGUAGGGAAGAAAAAACAGCUCUGGUAGACUUUUAUGAGCAGAAGGAAGAUUUCUUGUAUGGCCCUGGACUAGCUAAUAAAUCAUGAGCAGAACAACCGAAAUCAUGGGAAUAAUGAACCAAUGUUUUUAAAAUGUUACUUAAUAUUGUAGCACAGCGUUUAUAAUAUUUUUUAUUAAAAAAUUUUGAAACAUUU